rnacentral:lncRNA from 1 species
UCAAAUGCAGUGGACUACAUCCCUUGAAAUAAAAUCAUGAGUGAAAUCAUAUUACAUGAGACAAUUUAAACUACAAAAAUUUAAAACAAAAAGUUACUUUAAUAUCUACCACCUCAAUUCUAUCCCAAAGCUAAGGAACUCUCCUCACACCUCAUCUGGCUGCUGAUCCUAUUCGGGUUCUUUAACCUGAAAAGAAAGCCUAAAUUGGGGUGAG